rnacentral:rRNA from 1 species
AUCAUGGCUCAGGACGAACGCUGGCGGCGUGCCUAAUACAUGCAAGUAGAACGCUGAAGGAGAAGCUUGCUUCUCUGGAUGAGUUGCGAACGGGUGAGUAACGCGUAGGUAACCUGCCUGGUAGCGGGGGAUAACUAUUGGAAACGAUAGCUAAUACCGCAUAAGAGUGGAUGUUGCAUGACAUUUGCUUAAAAGGUGCACUUGCAUCACUACCAGAUGG